UGGACGUGUGAGAGAGUAUUUUGGACGGGUUUUCGCAGCCCUGGACCAGCAGGUCACUGGUUGGCAGCUUGAGAAGGUAAGCGACUCACUUUCGCCGUUAUCGACGUUCUAUUCGACGAUUUGAGUAAUAAUUUCGGGUUUUUGCUUCUUGCUGUGCUAGGCUGAGAUUUCAGCAAUUAAAAAUGAGAUAAUUAGCUGUGAUUUUACCUUCUUAGACCAGGGAUAAGCUACUUUGAAGCUUAAGUGGAAUGUUUAGCCAUUUAUAAAGCUUAAUCGGAACUAUACGCGGAUUAUUGAUGCAAUUUGGAAUUUUCUCUUCGCAGCAGGUCUUCGAGUCUUGUUGAGCUAAACUUGUACUUUUAGAAGCUGGUUUGGAAGGUAUUCUAACCUGAGCGGGAGUUCGACCGACCUUUGGGUCAUCCUUGGUUGGCUUUGGGAAGCCUUUAGAGACUUAAUUGGAGCAGCAUUGAGGCUUCGUUGAGCUGAUUGUGGGACUUCUUGUGAAUAGUUGGAGCCUAGUACUAGGUGGGUCGGACCUAACCAGAGCAAGUGAAACUCCCCUAUGUUCUAUAUGUAUUAUAGAAAUGGUCUUAUUGUGUGCUUAUGUGAUUGAGAAAGGGCUUGACAUUCGUCAGCAUAAUGUUGAGCAUAUUCGA